rnacentral:tRNA from 1 species
UCCUUAGUGGCUCAGAUGGUUAAAGAUCUGCCUGCAGUGCAGAAGACCCAGGUUUGAUCCCUGGGUCAGGAA